rnacentral:rRNA from 1 species
GGGGGGCAGCAGGCGCGAAAACUUUACAAUGCUGGCAACAGCGAUAAGGGGACCUCGAGUGCCAGGAUACAAUCUUGGCUGUCGUAAUGCCUAAAAAGCAUUAUAUAGCAAGGGCCGGGCAAGACCGGUGCCAGCCGCCGCGGUAACACCGGCGGCUCGAGUGGUAACCGCUAUUAUUGGGUCUAAAGGGUCUGUAGCCGGCCGGAUAAGUCUUUUGGGAAAUCCAGCUGCUCAACAGUUGGGCUUUCAGAAGAUACUGUUCGGCUCGAGGCCGGGAGAGGUGAGAGGUACUUCAGGGGUAGGGGUGAAAUCUUGUAAUCCUUGAAGGACCACCAGUGGCGAAGGCGUCUCACCAGAACGGACCUGACGGCAAGGGACGAAAGCUAGGGGCACGAACCGGAUUAGAUACCCCGGUAU